rnacentral:rRNA from 1 species
CAGCCGCCACGGGAAUACGGAGGGCGCGAGCGUUACCCGGAUUUACUGGGCGUAAAGGGCGUGUAGGCGGCCUGGGGCGUCCCAUGUGAAAGGCCACGGCUCAACCGUGGAGGAGCGUGGGAUACGCUCAGGCUAGAGGGUGGGAGAGGGUGGUGGAAUUCCCGGAGUAGCGGUGAAAUGCGCAGAUACCGGGAGGAACGCCGAUGGCGAAGGCAGCCACCUGGUCCACUUCUGACGCUGAGGCGCGAAAGCGUGGGGAGCAAACCGGAUUAGAUACCCCCGUAUCCCUGUCUCUUAUACA